GACGAACGCUGGCGGCGUGCCUAAUACAUGCAAGUAGAACGCUGAAGGAGGAGCUUGCUUCUCUGGAUGAGUUGCGAACGGGUGAGUAACGCGUAGGUAACCUGCCUGGUAGCGGGGGAUAACUCUUGGAAACGCUAGCUAAUACCGCAUAAUAGUAGAUGUUGCAUGACAUUUGCUUAAAAGGUGCAAUUGCAUCACUACCAGAUGGUCCUGCGUUGUAUUAGCUAGUUGGUGAGGUAACGGCUCAACAAGGCAACGAUACAUAGCCGACCUGAGAGGGUGAUCGGCCACACCGGGACUGAGACACGGCUCAGACUCCUACGGGAGGCAGCAGUAGGGAAUCUUCGGCAAUGGACGGAAGGCUGACCGAGCAACGCCGCGUGAGUGAAGAAGGUUUUCGGAUCGUAAAGCUCUGUUGUAAGAGAAGAACGAGUGUGAGAGUGGAAAGUUCACACUGUGACGGUAUCUUACCAGAAAGGGACGGCUAACUACGUG
rnacentral:rRNA from 1 species